CCGAGGCACGCAGGGGAAGGCAGCAGCGUCUGCUAGAGAAGCGAGGGGGCCGUGUUUUCCUCUAGUGUCAGUUUAACAGAGCUCAGAUAUCGGCCCUCGGGGAGUAAUGAUCUCCUCCUGACUCGCUGGGCGCUGGUGCACAGGAAUGGGUGAUUCUACACAUGGCUUUGAAGGAGGGAGGCGGUGUGUGAAAGAAGACCUGGCUCCUGCUCUCCAUGUGCCGCAGGCAUUGGCCCCAUGUCUCCAGCAAUGAAGUUCAGCGCCAUGUUUCACAUCUCAGUGACCUCAACUCUUCGUGUCUUUUAAACCCACAUGUUUUCUUGAGAAGUUUUAUCCUGUUUAAUACAGAAGUUCAUUAGAAACUCUUUAAACUCUC